rnacentral:rRNA from 1 species
AUCCAGACUCCUACGGGAGGCAGCAGUGGGGAAUAUUGCACAAUGGGGGAAACCCUGAUGCAGCGACGCCGCGUGAGCGAUGAAGUAUUUCGGUAUGUAAAGCUCUCUCAGCAGGGAAGAAAAUGACGGUACCUGACUAAGAAGCCCCGGCUAACUACGUGCCAGCAGCCGCGGUAAUACGUAGGGGGCAAGCGUUAUCCGGAUUUACUGGGUGUAAAGGGAGCGUAGACGGCAAUGCAAGCCAGAUGUGAAAGCCCGGGGCGCAACCCCGGGACUGCAUUUGGAACUGUGUAGCUGGAGUGUCGGAGAGGCAGGCGGAAUUCCUGGUGUAGCGGUGAAAUGCGUAGAUAUCAGGAGGAACACCGGCGGCGAAGGCGGCCUGCUGGACCGUGACUGACGUUGAGGCCCGAAAGCGUGGGGAGCAAACAGGAUUAGAUACCCCAGUAAC